UCAUGAGCUUAAAGGAAAGAAACUGUCUCCAUAACAUAAAAGUGCAAGGUGUGGGCCUCUCCUAGUGCCCCAUGGCAGGACAAGCUGGCUUUGAACCAUUGCCUGGUUUCUUCUUGUGGACUGCUGGCACUGAAGUGGGUUGCACAGUG
rnacentral:snoRNA from 1 species